rnacentral:lncRNA from 1 species
CAGGGGGUGUACGUGUAGGAGGCAUUGGUGGACUUCUUGGCGGAGGAGAUAGAGGUGAAAGCGGGGGAGAAGUUGGUGGAGUUCUUGGUGGGGGCAUUGGUGGUGCACGAGGAGGAGAACUCGGUGGAGUUCUUGGGGGAGAUAUUGGUGGUGCACGCGGAGGAGAAGUUGGUGGAGUUCUUGGCGGGGAUAGAGGUGGUGCACGCGGAGGAGAAGUUGGUGGAGUUAUAGGGGGAGAUAGCGGUGGUGUACGUGGAGGAGAAGUUGGUGGAGUUCUUGGCGGGGAUAGUGGUGGGGCACGUGGAGGAGCUGUCG